rnacentral:tRNA from 1 species
GGAGGGGUGGGUGAGUGGUUAAAACCAGCAGACUGUAAAUCUGCCGCCGGAAGGCUUCGUUGGUUCGAAUCCAACCCCCUCCA